ensembl:lncRNA
AUAAAGACUCUGAAGCACAAAGGGGGCAAGUAAUCACCAGGAGGUGAAAGGCAGGAUUAAGAAUCAGCAAAUGAUGACUCCAGUGUCCCCCCACUUUUCUUGCUGUCAUGAAAUCUCCUCAGGGCCUGUAUAAGUUGUGUGCUCUCUAAUUGAAGUCCUCCUACAAAUGAAGAACCAGGAAUAAGUGGCUUAAUAACUCCCACAGAUGUGGCCAUAAAUUUCUCCCAAGAUGAGUGGGAAUGGCUGAAUCUUGUGCAGAGGAGUCUGUACAGGAAGGUGAUGCUGGACAACCACAGGAACCCAGUUGCCGUGGGUAAGGGUAGCACUGGCACUCACCGUGACUCCGGAUCUUCUUAGGUCUCUAUCAGUUUCUGACACUAUCCCUCUUUAGACCAACAGUAGCCCUUGCUUACAA